rnacentral:rRNA from 1 species
GACCUGAGCUCAGGCAAGAUUACCCGCUGAACUUAAGCAUAUCAAUAAGCGGAGGAAAAGAAACUAACAAGGAUUUCCUUAGUAACGGCGAGUGAAACGGAAAAAGCCCAACUUGAAAAUCUCCCUUUGGAGAAUUGUAGUCUAUAGAAGCGCCCUCUGUAGCGGGCGAAGCCUAAGUUCGCUGGAAAGCGGCGUCAGAGAGGGUGAGAACCCCGUCGGCUUCUGCUUUGCUGCCCCACGAGGUGCUUUCCACGAGUCGGGUUGUUUGGGAAUGCAGCCCUAAAUUGGAGGUAAAUCCCUUCUAAGGCUAAAUACUGGCGAGAGACGGAUAGCGAAC